UACGAAGGGGGCUAGCGUUGCUCGGAAUCACUGGGCGUAAAGGGCGCGUAGGCGGGUUUUUAAGUCAGAGGUGAAAUCCUGGAGCUCAACUCCAGAACUGCCUUUGAUACUGGAAGUCUUGAGUAUGGGAGAGGUGAGUGGAACUGCGAGUGUAGAGGUGAAAAUUCGUAGAUAUUCGCAAGAACACCAGUGGCGAAGGCGGCUCACUGGCCCAUUCUGACGCUGAGGCACGAAAGCGUGGGGAGCAAACAGGG
rnacentral:rRNA from 1 species